AAGGAAUAUUGGUCAAUGCCCGGAAGGGUGAACCAGCCAUGCCGCGUGAAGGAUGAAGGCCCUCUGGGUUGUAAACUUCUUUUGGAUAGGACGAAAAAACAUCAUUUAUGAUGGACUGACGGUACUAUCAGAAUAAGCACCGGCUAACUCCGUGCCAGCAGCCGCGGUAAUACGGAGGGUGCAAGCGUUAUCCGGAAUCACUGGGUUUAAAGGGUGCGUAGGCGGCUAGAUAAGUCAGGGGUGAAAGCAUGCAGCUUAACUGUAUAAUUGCCUUUGAUACUGUUUAGCUUGAAUAAGGUUGAGGUUGGCGGAAUGUGACAUGUAGCGGUGAAAUGCAUAGAUAUGUCAUAGAACACCAAUUGCGAAGGCAGCUGACUGGGCCUUUAUUGACGCUGAGGCACGAAAGCGUGGGGAGCGAAC
rnacentral:rRNA from 1 species